rnacentral:rRNA from 1 species
GAUGAACGCUGGCGGCGUGCCUAAUACAUGCAAGUAGAACGCUGAAGGAGGAGCUUGCUCUUUCCGGAUGAGUUGCGAACGGGUGAGUAACGCGUAGGUAACCUGCCUGGUAGCGGGGGAUAACUAUUGGAAACGAUAGCUAAUACCGCAUAACAGUAGAUAUUGCAUGAUAUUUGCUUGAAAGGGGCAAUUGCUCCACUACCAGAUGGACCUGCGUUGUAUUAGCUAGUUGGUGAGGUAACGGCUCACCAAGGCGACGAUACAUAGCCGACCUGAGAGGGUGAUCGGCCACACUGGGACUGAGACACGGCCCAGACUCCUACGGGGGGCAGCAGUAGGGAAUCUUCGGCAAUGGACGGAAGUCUGACCGAGCAACGCCGCGUGAGUGAAGAAGGGUUUCGGAUCGUAAAGCUCUGUUGUAAGAGAAGAACGAGUGUGAGAGUGGAAAGUUCACACUGUGACGGUAUCUUACCAGAAAGGGACGGCUAACUACGUG